AUUGUUAAGGAUUUGAAAAAGUUAUACCUUUCGAUCUUUUCCGAUGUUGAGGACGAUGAGUUCGACCAAUCCUUUAGUGUUCAUGAGGAAUCCUAAUGUUAUUGCUUCUCGCAUAGGUAUCUUGAAGGCGAGGGAAACACCGAGAGUGCCCAAUAUCUUACCGAAACAAGCUGUGGCGGUGACUAAAACCAGAAGACCCCAAGACUGAGCUCCUUGGAUCGUUGCCACAUUAGUUUUCAGACCACUUGCCACAAAGUAAAGCGGCAGGAAGAGACCGGAUACAAGAUCUUCCACCUUCUCAACUAGUGCACCAGCAAAAGGUCCUUCCUUUGGAAUCAAAACACCCACCACAAAGGCACCAAACAUGGAGUGGAUUCCAAUGGCAUCAGUUAUGAAUCCACAAACAAGAACUACAGCCAAAGUGGCACAGAUGUAGGUUUCCUCGAUAGGUUCUCCCUCGUGGCACCUCCGGGAAAUCCAUCUAAAGAUUGGUGGAAUGAUGAAAGACGCACCGAUAACAAAAGCACACCCGGAAAGGAAAACCCAGAGAGAGACAAGGGGAGAGGUAUUGGAUCCCGAGAGAGCAAUGGCUAGAGCAAGUAGAAUCCAAGCUGCCACAUCGUUAACGGCAGCUGCCGACAUAGCAAGUCGUCCUAUCUCAGUAGUUAGAAGCUUUAGCUCCGCUAAGAUACGGGCCAACACAGGGAAUGCAGUGAUAGAGAGUGCCACACCCAUGAAGACGAGAAACGCGGUACUAUUCACUCCUUUGGAGAUUGUUGCUUUUAAAACGAAUGAAGAACCAAUGCCAAGAGCAAACGGGAGGGUUAUUCCAGCCAAGGCAAUUCCCAAAGCCUUUUUCCCGGUGCGACGAAGGGCUUUGGUAUCAAUCUCUAGACCAGCAAGGAAAAGGAAGAAGAGAAGGCCGAGAUUAGCCAGAGUUUCAAGAACAGUCAAGCUUUUCUUCGGGAACACAGCGUCUAGAAAAGCCUUGGAACGACCAAGAAGAGAAGGUCCAAGCAUAAUCCCACCCUGCAAAUCAACAGACUAAAUCAUUCAC
rnacentral:sRNA from 1 species